rnacentral:rRNA from 1 species
AACGAACGCUGGCGGCAGGCCUAACACAUGCAAGUCGAGCGCGCCCUUCGGGGUGAGCGGCGGACGGGUGAGUAACGCGUGGGAACGUUCCCUUUUCUACGGAAUAGCCUCGGGAAACUGAGAGUAAUACCGUAUACGCCCUUUGGGGGAAAGAUUUAUCGGAAAAGGAUCGGCCCGCGUUGGAUUAGGUAGUUGGUGGGGUAAUGGCCUACCAAGCCGACGAUCCAUAGCUGGUUUGAGAGGAUGAUCAGCCACACUGGGACUGAGACACGGCCCAGACUCCUACGGGAGGCAGCAGUGGGGAAUCUUAGACAAUGGGGGCAACGCUGAUCUAGCCAUGCCGCGUGAGUGAUGAAGGCCUUAGGGUUGUAAAGCUCUUUCAGCUGGGAAGAUAAUGACGGUACCAGCAGAAGAAGCCCCGGCUAACUCCGUG